rnacentral:rRNA from 1 species
UGGGGAAUAUUGGGCAAUGGGGGAAACCCUGACCCAGCAACGCCGCGUGAAGGAAGAAGGCUUUCGGGUUGUAAACUUCUUUUACCAGGGACGAAGGACGUGACGGUACCUGGAGAAAAAGACCACGGCUAACUACGUGCCAGCAGCCGCGGUAAUACGUAGGUGGCAAGCGUUGUCCGGAUUUACUGGGUGUAAAGGGCGUGUAGGCGGCUACGUAAGUCAGACGUGUAAUGCAGGGGCUUAACCCCUGAACUGCGUUUGAAACUGUGUGGCUUGAGUGGAGUAGAGGCAGAUGGAAUUUCCAGUGUAGCGGUGAAAUGCGUAGAUAUUGGAAGGAACACCAGUGGCGAAGGCGAUCUGCUGGGCUCUAACUGACGCUGAGGCACGAAAGCAUGGGGAGCAAACAGGAUUAGAUACCCUGGUAGU